rnacentral:rRNA from 1 species
AUUGAACGCUAGCGGCAGGCCUUACACAUGCAAGUCGAACGAGUGGCGGACGGGUGAGUAAUGUCUGGGCAACUUCGCGGUGGAUGGGUAUGACUACUGGAAACGGUAGCUGAUACCGCAUACCCUCGGAUGUGCCCAGAUGGGAUUAGCUAGUGGGUGGGGUAACGGCUCACCUAGGCGACGAUCCCUAGCUGGUCUGAGAGGAAGACCAGCCACACUGGAACUGAGACACGGUCCAGACUCCUACGGGAGGCAGCAGUGGGGAAUAUUGCACAAUGGGCGAAAGCCUGAUGCAGCCAUGCCGCGUGUAUGAUGAAGGCCUUCGGGUUGUAAAGUACUUUCAGCGAGGAGGCGUUACCCGCAGAAGAAGCACCGGCUAACUCCGUGCCAGCAGCCGCGGUAAUAC